rnacentral:rRNA from 1 species
AUGGCAAUACUCCCCAACUCCCGCCCCAGUACUGGGUGGCGUCGAGGUUAUCUCACCAACAACUGCAUAAAAGAGAUUUUCGAUGUCGGCGAACUCAGGUAUUCCAGAACAGGCAGUAGCCAUGGCGGCGAGGCGACGAGGUGGCCGGGUGGCGGUGAUGGGCGGCGCUGGGAAGAGCAUCUGCAACAGGGCGAUGGAGGUGGGGUGGCGUCGGGAGGUGCGAUGCAGAGGAGGCUGAGGCCGACGAGCUCGAUGCGGUGCUGGAUGAGGAGGCGGCUGGGCUGCGGGAUGCAGCAGUGCAGGAAAACGGAGGGAGGUUUGGAGGAGGCGCAAGAGAGGCCAUGGCGAGGAGCUCAGGGGCGGUGCUCGCCCGGGCGGUGGCGGCGGGGCCAGCUUCGAGGAGGAGGGCGCGAUGCAAAGGGAGAAGGAGGCGGGACAUGGGCUCGCGCGCCAAGGCGAGGUGGAGGAGGAGCUGAGGACGGGGAGGCCGAUGUGAUCGCGCGCAUAGGGUGGCCAGGACUCGCCGACUUGAGGGGCGAUGGGGCAUGGCUUCGGGCGCCAUGGGAGGCAAGGCAUGGGGCGUGUGUGGAUCGGGCAUGUGUGCGGAGGCGGCGGCCUGGAGGGAUCGAGAGGAGAACGGGGAGAUGGGGGUCGGGCCAGGGAGAGGUUUAG